rnacentral:RNase_P_RNA from 1 species
UGAGUAAAUCGGAUGGUCGCGGGCAUUUUGCCUGAGGAAAGUCCGAGCUCCACAGGGCAGGGUGCUGGGUAAUACCCAGUGAGGGUGACCUCAAGGAAAGUGCAACAGAAAUAUACCGCCUAACAGGUGUCAGGAGCAUGAUGGUAAGACCUCUGCACCUGUUACGGCAAGGGUGGAAAGGUGAGGUAAGAGCUCACCAGCGGGAUGGCGACUUCCCGGCUCUGCAAACCCCACUUGGAGCAAGACCAAAUAGGGGAGCUUAUACGGCGGCCCGUCGUGCUCCCGGGUAUGGUCGCUGGAGGUGUCAGGCAACUGGCAUCCUAGAUAGAUGACCAUCUAAGACAGAACUCGGCUUACAGAUUUACUCAAUAA